rnacentral:rRNA from 1 species
CCUACGGGAGGCAGCAGUGGGGAAUUUUGGACAAUGGGGGAAACCCUGAUCCAGCCAUUCCGCGUGAGUGAAGAAGGCCUUCGGGUUGUAAAGCUCUUUCGGCAGGAACGAAACGGCGGACUCUAACAUAGUCUGUCAAUGACGGUACCUGAAGAAGAAGCACCGGCUAACUACGUGCCAGCAGCCGCGGUAAUACGUAGGGGGCGAGCGUUGUCCGGAAUUACUGGGCGUAAAGAGCGCGUGGGCGGGGAGGAAAGUUCUGUGUAAAACCCCUGAGCCCAACUUGGGGGAGCCGCAGAAGACUUCCCCCCUUGAGGGAAGCAGAGGAAAGCGGAACUGGCGGUGGAGCGGUGAAAUGCGUAGAGAUCGCAAGGAACGCCCGUGGCGAAGGCGGCUUUCUGGACUUCUCCUGACGCUGAGGCGCGAAAGCUAGGGUAGCGAACGGGAUUAGAUCCCCCGGUAGU